CUUUGACACAGUUCUUCUAAGUAGUUGGAGCCUGCUAGAAGCCCCUUAUGUAUUUUUUAAAUACUUGUCUGUUUCUUCUUUUGAGAACUGCUUGUUAACCUUAUUAGCUCAUUUACUGAUUGAUAGGUGUGUGUGUGUGUGUGUGUGUGUGUGUGUGUGUGUGUGUGUGUGUGUGUGUGUGUUGUCAAACAUUAUAGAAACAUCAAAAGUAGCAGGGAAAAAAAAAUGAAACUCCCAUCAUGAAUCCCUCUAACAGAAACUUCCUGAGGGCACACUAUAAUGCUACAUUGAUAUUUUUGUUACCUAUUACUAGAUAACAAACCACCUAGUAAUACAGUGACUGAAACAACUAUUAUGUGUGUUUGUGGUUCUGUGGGUCAAGAAUUGGGAAAUGGCCCAGCCUGGUCCAUAAUAGGCUGGAAGAUAAGCCCUUAAAAGCCAUUUUUGGUCUCCUGUCUAGAAUUCUCCCAUCCCUCUCUCUCUCUCUCUCUCUCUCUCUCUCUCUCUCUCUCUCUCUCUCUCUCUCUCUCUCACACACACACACACACACACACACACACACACACACACACACACACAGUUUCCACUCUUCACUUAGGCUCCUCACAGCCUGGCCUUCUCAUCAUGGUCCUAUUUCUUGCUGGAUGACUAUCUUCCUCAUGGUAAAUGUUCGCAGAAACCUUGGAAGAUCCUGAGCAUCAUCACUCCUGCCACAUUCCAUAGAUCAAAGAGUGUAUGCCAUUAAGACUGAUCCAGACUCAAGGGAAAGGAAUACCUGGAUUCCACCUUUCCAUGCAGAUGAAGGCAAAUUAAAGACAUAGUUGUGGGCAUGUAGAAGAAAAGUCACCACACCCAGGGCUACAGGACCUAUACCCAGUCUCUGUUCUGACAGAAAGAACAGGCAAUACAAAUGCAAGUAAUGGAAGAGGUAUACCACGAGACAGAAGCAUGUAAAGGAGAAAGAGCAGUCGAUGAAGGAUUUCAAGAAUAUGGAUUAUUCCAUAUAACACGGGUGGUGACUGAGAUUACAGUAGGAAAGGAAAGAAAGAAGACUGCCCCAAAAUGGACAAAUACAAUGGGCCAAAUGGCCCUGGAAAAGGAGAAGGGGGAGUACCUGCUGCCCGAACCUGAAAUCCUUUCAGACUGUGUGAAAAGUAGAGUGAAUGGGUGGGUGUGAGUGCUGCACGGUUGAGUGGAAGAGAAAAGAAUAGGCUG
rnacentral:lncRNA from 1 species